rnacentral:rRNA from 1 species
GAUUAACGCUAGCGGCAGGCCUAAUACAUGCAAGUCGAACGGCAGCACGGGUAGCAAUACCUGGUGGCGAGUGGCGCACGGGUGCGUAACGCGUAUGCAAUCUACCUAUAACUGGGGAAUAGCCUUCCGAAAGGAAGAUUAAUACCGCAUAAUAUCACGAGGCGGCAUCGUUUUGUGAUCAAAUCUCCGGAGGUUAUAGAUGAGCAUGCGUGACAUUAGCUAGUUGGUGAGGUAACGGCUCACCAAGGCUACGAUGUCUAGGGGGUCUGAGAGGAUGAUCCCCCACACUGGU